GGUUAAGCGACUAAGCGUACACGGUGGAUGCCCUGGCAGUCAGAGGCGAUGAAGGACGUGCUAAUCUGCGAUAAGCGUCGGUAAGGUGAUAUGAACCGUUAUAACCGGCGAUUUCCGAAUGGGGAAACCCAGUGUGUUUCGACACACUAUCAUUAACUGAAUCCAUAGGUUAAUGAGGCGAACCGGGGGAACUGAAACAUCUAAGUACCCCGAGGAAAAGAAAUCAACCGAGAUUCCCCCAGUAGCGGCGAGCGAACGGGGAGGAGCCCAGAGCCUGAAUCAGUGUGUGUGUUAGUGGAAGCGUCUGGAAAGGCGCGCGAUACAGGGUGACAGCCCCGUACACAAAAAUGCACAUGCUGUGAGCUCGAUGAGUAGGGCGGGACACGUGGUAUCCUGUCUGAAUAUGGGGGGACCAUCCUCCAAGGCUAAAUACUCCUGACUGACCGAUAGUGAACCAGUACCGUGAGGGAAAGGCGAAAAGAACCCCGGCGAGGGGAGUGAAAAAGAACCUGAAACCGUGUACGUACAAGCAGUGGGAGCACGCUUAGGCGUGUGACUGCGUACCUUUUGUAUAAUGGGUCAGCGACUUAUAUUCUGUAGCAAGGUUAACCGAAUAGGGGAGCCGAAGGGAAA
rnacentral:rRNA from 1 species